CACGAUUUGCAAUUUGAAAUCCCAUUAUUAUCGGAGACGUGAUCUCAGGCGCAGUGUAGUGUGUUUGGUUUUGUUCUUCUUCGAUCAUUCACAGAGCAUCUCGAGCUUGCAUACGCCAUGUCCCGUUAUGGAUGCAUUCCGCAGAGCCCGUCGUCUCUUUCUCCGGUGGUACUGGUUCUUCUGGCGGUAAGACACCAUCGUCAAGACUCAAGACAUUCUCCUCUCACAUAUGCAUGUACUAAUUUCCCGUCAUUAUCGUCGACUUAUGCCAGCAACUCACG